ACACUCCUACGGGAGGCAGCAGUGGGGAAUUUUGGACAAUGGGCGAAAGCCUGAUCCAGCAAUGCCGCGUGAGUGAAGAAGGCCUUCGGGUUGUAAAGCUCUUUUGUCAGGGAAGAAACGGUGAAAGCUAAUAUCUUUUGCUAAUGACGGUACCUGAAGAAUAAGCACCGGCUAACUACGUGCCAGCAGCCGCGGUAAUACGUAGGGUGCAAGCGUUAAUCGGAAUUACUGGGCGUAAAGCGUGCGCAGGCGGUUUUGUAAGUCUGAUGUGAAAUCCCCGGGCUCAACCUGGGAAUUGCAUUGGAGACUGCAAGGCUAGAAUCUGGCAGAGGGGGGUAGAAUUCCACGUGUAGCAGUGAAAUGCGUAGAUAUGUGGAGGAACACCGAUGGCGAAGGCAGCCCCCUGGGUCAAGAUUGACGCUCAUGCACGAAAGCGUGGGGAGCAAACAGGAUUAGAUACCCCGGUAGUCC
rnacentral:rRNA from 1 species